rnacentral:rRNA from 1 species
GACGAACGCUGGCGGCAUGCCUAACACAUGCAAGUCGAACGAGACGUUCGGGCCUUGUGGCGCACGGCUGCGUAACGCGUGGGAACCUGCCCUUGGGUUAGGAAUCCCUCCCCGAAAGGGGUCCUCAUACCGGAUAAUGUCUUCGGACCAAAGAUUUAUCGCGUUUGGGUGGGCCCGGGUUGGAUUCGCGGGUUGGUAGGGUAAAAGCAUACCAAGGGGACGAUGCAUAGCUGGUCGGAGAGGAUGCUCCGCCACAAUGGGCCUGCGACACGGCCCAGACUCGGACGCGGCGCAGCAGUGGGGAAUAUUGGACAAUGGGCGAAAGCCUGAUCCAGCAAUGCCGCGGGAGUGAUGAAGGCCGUAGGGUUGUAAAGCUCUUUUACCCGGGACGAUAGUGACAGUACCGGGUGAAUAAGCUCCGGCUAACUCCGUG